rnacentral:rRNA from 1 species
GACGAACGCUGGCGGCGUGCCUAAUACAUGCAAGUAGAACGCUGAAGAGAGGAGCUUGCUCUUCUUGGAUGAGUUGCGAACGGGUGAGUAACGCGUAGGUAACCUGCCUGGUAGCGGGGGAUAACUAUUGGAAACGAUAGCUAAUACCGCAUAAAAUUGAUUAUCGCAUGAUAAUUAAUUGAAAGAUGCAACUGCAUCACUACCAGAUGGACCUGCGUUGUAUUAGCUAGUUGGUGAGGUAACGGCUCACCAAGGCGACGAUACAUAGCCGACCUGAGAGGGUGAUCGGCCACACUGGGACUGAGACACGGCCCAGACUCCUACGGGAGGCAGCAGUAGGGAAUCUUCGGCAAUGGGGGGAACCCUGACCGAGCAACGCCGCGUGAGUGAAGAAGGUUUUCGGAUCGUAAAGCUCUGUUGUAAGAGAAGAACGGGUGUGAGAGUGGAAAG